rnacentral:rRNA from 1 species
AUCUUCCGCAAUGGGCGAAAGCCUGACGGAGCAACGCCGCGUGAGUGUUGAAGGGUUUCGGCUCGUAAAACUCUGCUAUUAGGGAAGAACAAAUGUGUAAGUAACUGUGCACAUCUUGCCGGUACCUAAUCAGAAAGCCACGGCUAACUACGUGCCAGCAGCCGCGGUAAUACGUAGGUGGCAAGCGUUAACCGGAAUUAAUGGGCGUAAAGCGCGCGUAGGCGGUUUCUUAAGUCUGGUGUGAAAGCCCACGGCUCAACCGUAGAGGGUCAUUGGAAUCUGGGAAACUUGAGUGCAGAAGAGGAAAGUGGAAUUCCAUGUGUAGCGGUGAAAUGCGCAGAGAUAUGGAGGAACACCAGUGGCGAAGGCGACUUUCUGGUCUGUAACUGACGCUGAUGUGCGAAAGCGUGGGGAUCAAACA